UACGGAAGGGGCUAGCGUUGUUCGGAAUUACUGGGCGUAAAGAGCGCUUAGGCGGCUUACCAAGUUGGGGGUGAAAUCCCGGAGCUCAACUCCGGAACUGCCUUCAAAACUGGUAGGCUCGAGUCCGGAAGAGGGGCGUGGAAUUCCCAGUGUAGAGGUGAAAUUCGUAGAUAUUGGGAAGAACACCGGUGGCGAAGGCGGCGCCCUGGUCCGGUACUGACUAUGAGGCGCGAAAGCGUGGGGAGCAAACAGG
rnacentral:rRNA from 1 species